UACGUAGGGUGCGAGCGUUAAUCGGCAUUACUGGGCGUAAAGCGUGCGCAGGCGGAUUGAUAAGCCAGAUGUGAAAUCCCCGAGCUCAACUUGGGAACUGCGUUUGGAACUGUCAGACUAGCGUGCGUUAGAGGGGGGUGGAAUUCCGCGUGUAGCAGUGAAAUGCGUAGAGAAGCGGAGGAACACCGAUGGCGAAGGCAGCCCCCUGGGAUGACACUGACGCUCAUGCACGAAAGCGUGGGGAGCAAACAGG
rnacentral:rRNA from 1 species